UACGAAGGGGGCUAGCGUUGUUCGGAAUUACUGGGCGUAAAGCGCACGUAGGCGGAUCGAUCAGCCAGGGGUGAAAUCCCAGGGCUCAACCCUGGAACUGCCUUUGAUACUGUCGAUCUGGAGUAUGGAAGAGGUGAGUGGAAUUCCGAGUGUAGAGGUGAAAUUCGUAGAUAUUCGGAGGAACACCAGUGGCGAAGGCGGCUCACUGGUCCAUUACUGACGCUGAGGUGCGAAAGCGUGGGGAGCAAACAGG
rnacentral:rRNA from 1 species